CGGCGAGAUCCAGCACGCGCGCGGCGACGACAUGGCAUGGAUCCCCACGACUCCUCCUCCUCCUCUCUGGAUCGAUCCCCUCCAACACACCUCUUCCCCCUCUCUAGAUUGAUCCCCUCCAACCCAGCCGCCGCCGCAGACCUCCCCCAACCCCGGCCUCCUCCACCGCCGGCGACCCCUUCUCUUCCUCCCUCCCUCCACCUCCAGCAGUAGAUCCAUGCAGGACAGAUCUGAGCUCCACUGCCUCCGUUGCUCCCUUUCCCCCGACCAGAUCUGCCUCUUGCAUUCUGGCACCUCGCCGGUGUGGCUCCAGCGUUGCUCCGGCGACUCAGAUCCAACACGCUGUCGUUGCUUGAGCACCGGGACGCCAUCGACGGGACGUCUUCCUCCUCCCCUGUCCCGAAGGCAUGAAUGAUGCAGCUUCACUGCUACCCUGACGCCAUCAAGGCCGAAGACGAUGGCGGCGGUUCGAUGCGCGGCGAGGAGGCUCGGUGGCUCCCUGCUCCAGCGAGCGCAGGCGGAGGAGCGACGCCGGCUCGUGCCAAGGAGGCUCAUGCGCUCCCGCCACCUCUCCACCGAGGAAGCAAAAGAGAUCCAGCAGAAGAAGGAGGCGCUGUAUCUCCAGAACAGAGUUCUUUGAGAAAUCAGGCCUACUUUUGUUCUAUUAAUCUACUCCUAACAUAUUGGUUGUUUCUUCAAGAACAGAGGGAAACGUGAAAUAUUAUUAGUUGUAUCAGAAUAACAUGUGAAUUGUUAUUAGUUGUAUCGGAAUAGCAUGUGAACUGUUCUUAGUUGCUUCAGAAUAGCAUGUGAAGUAUUCUUAGUUGUUCCAUAAUAGCAUGUGAAGUAUUCUUAGUUGUUCCAGAAUAGCAUGUGAAGUACAUCUCCCUUUGUAGCUUGGCCUAGGGUCAGUUGAAUGCUCAAGACAUGGGUAGUUUAGUUUCAGGUUCAGGUUCAGCGAGAUGGCUCUUUGAACCAUGAGUAGGUAGCACAACGCAUGCCUUGCCGGCUGACAGUAGUUGUGAUGCGGCUCUACUACUGUACCAUGUGUUCCUACUACUAGCUCUAGUCGUGGAUGCUAGGUAGCUCCAUGUUUUCUCUGUUUUUAUGUAAUCCUAGAUAGAACCAUACAACUGUGGAUGACAAACACUGCAAUUUAAUCUAAAAUUGUCAUCAUGAUCCUAGCAAAUACUCCUCAAAUUACUGUAAAUUGUUGCACGAUUAGGGGCUAGUGUAGAUGCAAAAUAAGGUUGCACUUUUAGAGGAGAUAAUCCACUGAUGUUGGAUGCUUGGUAGUUGUCUUGUGUUGUGUGCAUGUCGGUACUAGUAGUAUGUCCGUGAGCAACAAGCAUACGAUUUGUGCCUAUGCUCUACUAUAUUGGCCUCAUGGGUCAUCGCUGAUUGACCAGGACUAUAGAUUAUUCCUUCAGCGUACUAUUGCUUUCUCAAGUCAACUCAAGCAACAAUUCAUGUGGCUCGCUCAAUCGGUCAGAGAGCUGAACGGGGCGAGGACGGAGGCGUCGGUGAGGGCGUACGGCGGCGCCGGCCAGAGCAAGGUGUCCAACAAAUGGGUUAAGUCGAAUUAGCAUUUUGUACUAGCCAUCCCUGUUUCCUGCUUUUAUAUGUACACAAACUCGAACCUAAGUUAGGCCUUUGCAUUGUCAUGGUGGUCUCUGUGUGUGAUUCCGCAUGGUAAUACUGAUGCAUAAAACUUGGUUUGGUAUGGAAUUGGCAACCUAUUUAAGUUGUUAGUUUACUUGUGGAUUUUGACAUAGUGAUCCCUUAAUCCUUGUAGAGCAUUUUUGUUUGCUCUGAACCUGACUGUUAUGUCAGUUUUCAUGUGACAACCUUGAUGUGCUAGUUUAUUUUAUUGCAAAGCUUGCCGUGCAAGGUGCAGAGCAUAAGGUGCCCUGCUUGUAUCGUGCUGAAUCUAGUUAGGCAGAGGAAUCCUUGCUAAUUCUGGCAAGUUUUUUGCUUUCACAUCCGAGUUAAAGAAAACUGGAAUUGAUCUUACAAGUGGCUCAAAAUGUAAGACUGUCUGAUUCCAUUUUAAGGUUGUCACUAACCUGGUAGUUUUAUUUGGUGAUGCAGUUUGUAAGUUAAAAUGAUGCCCAGGGUUCAGGACAUGUGUGAUUUCUCUUGACAUAGGUGCUCCUUCAUUUCCGCUGCCAUAUGCUAGAGCCGGCAAUGGACUCCUGGUAAGGCUUUGUUGACCCAAUUUGUUACUGUAUGCAUUUGUUGUCGUGUAGUAUCAUAUGUAAGCUUCUUUUCUCCCCUCUAGGACCUUAUUCAGACAGCAGCCUCAAGGCUACCUAUCUCAUCAAAUGAACUAUUUAUCAUGCUCGACGAAGCAAGCGAGAACACAUUUCUUUGUACCAACGCAGCUCGUCUCACUAUUGUUUCGUACUUUGUUAGCUACGACAUAUAUUUCCCCCAGUUUUUCUAAUUCUUCUCUGAUUCAUGUAACAGGAUGACAGUGGAAGCCGUGUUGUUGUUUUGUUUGUUCCCAGCCCUGACUAUGGUCUUCGAGUGAGUCCG
rnacentral:rRNA from 1 species